AGUUUGAUCAUGGCUCAGAGUGAACGCUGGCGGCGUGCCUAACACAUGCAAGUCGAACGCGAAAGCCACCUUCGGGUGGUGAGUAGAGUGGCAGACGGGUGAGUAAUGCAUAGGUAAUCUACCUUCGAGUGGGGGAUAACUUAUCGAAAGGUGAGCUAAUCCCGCAUAAUGUAGUGAUACACAAGUGUUGCUAAUAAAGGGGGGGAUCCUUCGGGACCUCUCGCUUGAAGAUGAGCCUAUGUCCUAUUAGCUUGUUGGUGGGGUAAUGGCCUACCAAGGUUAUGAUGGGUAGCCGAGCUGAGAGGCUGACCGGCCACACUGGAACUGAAACACGGUCCAGACUCCUAUGGGAGGCAGCAGUGGGGAAUUUUGCGCAAUGGGCGAAAGCCUGACGCAGCGACGCCGCGUGAGGGAUGAAGGUCCUCGUGAUCGUAAACCUCUGUCAGGAAGGAUUAAAUGUGCAGAUGUUAAUACCAUUUGUACUUGACUUAACUUCCAAAGGAAGCUCCGGCUAACUACGUGCCAGCAGCCGCGGUAAUACGUAGGGGGCUAGCGUUACUCGGAUUUACUGGGCGUAAAGCGAAUGUAGGCGGUUGAAUAAGUCAGUGGUGAAAUCCCUCAGCUUAACUGAGGAAUUGCCAUUGAUACUGUUCGACUUGAGGACAGGAGAGGAAAGUGGAAUUCCCGGUGUAGCGGUGGAAUGCGUAGAUAUCGGGAGGAACACCAGAGGCGAAGGCGGCUUUCUGGACUGAUCCUGACGCUGAGAUUCGAAAGCUAGGGGAGCAAACAGGAUUAGAUACCCUGGUAGUCCUAGCUGUAAACGAUGGAUACUAGAUUUUGCAAAAUAUUGCUUGGUCGAAGCUAACGCGUUAAGUUCCCGCCUGGAGACUACC
rnacentral:rRNA from 1 species